UGUUUAGUUAUAUUGGCAAGCAAUUGCUUUUGACUUUCAGUUUUGUCUGAUGCGUACUUUGGAGGUUGGUUUGGUUGCUCAUUCCACGACCUUAUGCGUAUCCUGUCUCACCAUAUGUAUGUUAGAAAUGCUUUGCCAGUUAUGACAAGACUGCUCCCAACAUAUCUGGAAAAGUUUACCAAACUUU
rnacentral:lncRNA from 1 species